GCUUAAUUGGUUGAGCAUCUAGCUCUUGAUUUUGGCUCAAGUCAUGAUCCCAGGACCGUGGGAUCGAGUCCCACAUUGGGCU
rnacentral:tRNA from 1 species